rnacentral:misc_RNA from 1 species
GAAAUGCGAUAAGUAAUGUGAAUUGCAGAAUUCCGUGAAUCAUCGAAUCUUUGAACGCACAUUGCGCCCUCUGGUAUUCCGGGGGGCAUGCCUGUCCGAGCGUCAUUGCGAACCCCUCAAGCACGGCUUGUGUGAUGGGCCCUCCCGCGUCUUGGUCGUCAAGACGGGCCCGAAAUGCAGUGGCGGCUUCGCGGUUAUCCGAUCAGCCAGAGCGUAUGGGGACUUUCUCUCUGUCACACGCCCGCGGCGCGGACCGACGCCUGUCGACCUUUAUUCAUCUUUUUCUCGGUUGACCUCUGAUCAGGUAGGGAUACCCGCUGAACUUAAGC